CUCAACACACAAUCACACUUCACGUUUACUCACACCUUUUCUCCCUCAACACAGUUAUUGCAGAACACUAUUCAAGUCCAUAGAGUACUGAGAGCGGGAGAGCACUAGGAACCUUACCUCUGACUCUUUAAACGGUCGAGAAAUGGCAGAAAACUCCAAAAAUAAUUCUUCAAGAACGUACAUCGAAGAUUUUGGCUGUGUAAUUUCGUCUGCACCGAAUUCAAAUUCACCAGAUCCCAUCUCUUGUACUCUGUCGGCAAGUUUAAUUGAGCCUCAGGUAGAGAACCUUUGUCACGAAGUAUUUCAUGUGGAUUUGGAAUGAAAGAUAUCAAGUAACAAAGGCAGCAGCGAAAUCGAUCACGACAUGGACAUACAAAUGGUGGUGCAGCAUGUCAUUAUGGGUCAUGACUAAUGCUAAAUCUAUGCAGCAUGGUGAUGAUACAGUUUGUGAUGAAGGUGUUAGUAAUCAAACUCUAAUGUGGCCAAAUUGGAGAGUCGCAAUGUUGAAACAACUAAAUUUGGCAUGCACGUAGGGUGGUAAGUAUACUAGCAAUGUGGUUGUGGGGAACCGAAGAUUAUUAAAUGACUGUCAAAUCUAUCCAUAUUGAUGGUGGUGGGUUCCAAGAUAUAAAAAAUAGAGGCAAAUUUUGCACAGAGCUAUGCAGUUAUGUGGUUCUUGAUUCAGGACGUUGUCAUCCAUAUUGAUUGUAAUAGUUAUAACCAUUGGUGAGAUGAUGGUACAAAUAAAAA